rnacentral:rRNA from 1 species
CUCCACGCUGUAAACGAUGAGUGCUAGGUGUCGUGGGUAUUGACCCCGCGGUGCCGUAGCUAACGCAUUAAGCACUCCGCCUGGGAAGUACGGUCGCAAGACUAAACUCAAAGGAAUUGACGGGGCCCGCACAAGCGGUGGAGCAUGUGGUUUAAUUCGACGCAACGCGCAGAACCUUACCUGGGCUGGAAAGUGGAUGGAAGUCUGGUGAAAGCCGGAUUUGCCCGCAAGGGAGCCAUCUGACAGGUGCUGCAUGGCUGUCGU